UGGCGGACGGGUGAGUAAUGUCUGGGAAACUGCCUGAUGGAGGGGGAUAACUACUGGAAACGGUAGCUAAUACCGCAUAACGUCGCAAGACCAAAGAGGGGGACCUUCGGGCCUCUUGCCAUCGGAUGCGCCCAGAUGGGAUUAGCUAGUAGGUGGGGUAAAGGCUCACCUAGGCGACGAUCCCUAGCUGGUCUGAGAGGAUGACCAGCCACACUGGAACUGAGACACGGUCCAGACUCCUACGGGAGGCAGCAUG
rnacentral:rRNA from 1 species